rnacentral:rRNA from 1 species
AACGAACGCUGGCGGCAUGCCUAACACAUGCAAGUCGAACGAGACCUUCGGGUCUAGUGGCGCACGGGUGCGUAACGCGUGGGAACCUGCCCUUAGGUUCGGAAUAACUCCCCGAAAGGGGUGCUAAUACCGGAUAAUGUCUUCGGACCAAAGAUUUAUCGCCUUUGGAUGGGCCCGCGUUGGAUUAGCUAGUUGGUAGGGUAAAAGCCUACCAAGGCGACGAUCCAUAGCUGGUCUGAGAGGAUGAUCAGCCACACUGGGACUUAGGCACGGCCCAGACUCCUACGGGAGGCAGCAGUGGGGAAUAUUGGACAAUGGGCGAAAGCCUGAUCCAGCAAUGCCGCGUGAGUGAUGAAGGCCUUAGGGUUGUAAAGCUCUUUUACCCGGGAUGAUAAUGACAGUACCGGGAGAAUAAGCUCCGGCUAACUCCGUG